CAGUCGCCACGGGAAUACGAAGGGGGCUAGCGUUGCUCGGAAUUACUGGGCGUAAAGGGCGCGUAGGCGGAUAGUUUAGUCAGAGGUGAAAGCCCAGGGCUCAACCUUGGAAUUGCCUUUGAUACUGGCUACCUUGAGUUCGGGAGAGGUGAGUGGAAUGCCGAGUGUAGAGGUGAAAUUCGUAGAUAUUCGGCGGAACACCAGUGGCGAAGGCGACUCACUGGCCCGAUACUGACGCUGAGGCGCGAAAGCGUGGGGAGCAAACAGGAUUAGAUACCCGCGUAGUCCCUGUCUCUUAUAC
rnacentral:rRNA from 1 species